GAAUUUGCUGCCUUCUGAGGCAACAGAUUUCAGAAGUCCAUUUCUUACUAUCUAAUAGAUUCACUGAGUGCUGGUUGUUUCUGGUUUUGAUUUGUUGAAUAAGUUGUUCCCCAUUCAUUCACCUUUGUGAUUUUGCAGAACUUCAAGCAUACCUCAUCAUCCUUCUUUCCAGGUGGAAGAAUUCUAGCCUUCUUCAUUUCUUCCUGUAAGGCAUUUACUCCUUCUCUGUUCCAUUCUAACUCUGUGAUGUUUUGCUGGAAGUGCAGGAGCCAGGACUGUCCACAGUACUCAACAUAGCAUGGAAGAGCCUGCUUAGCUCCCUUGAUGCCUAAAUUCUGCCAGAGAUACAUGUGUAUAGUAUAGCUUUAAAAUGAUGGUACUGGAACUGAAAGGAGCUGUAAGGUUUUGGUAUAAUGAAAAAACAAAACAAACAAACAAACAAAAAAAACACACAACCAACCAACCAAACAAAAAAUAAUAAACCACCUGCUGGUGGUUGUUGAAACUAGCAGCAGGCAUGGUUUGUUGGACACUUAUGAUGGCUGUAUAAAAUCACAGUGAGGUGAACAAGGAAUUACCUUACCAAGCAACUCAUGAGAUGCCUAGACUGGAUGUAAUUAUGAUAAGCACAGUCCAUAGCAAAUGCUUGACUGAAGAUCUUUUUAAGAUCCUGGAGGAUACCUGAAGACAGACCUGACUGCUGAUGGGAGGAAAGAGAAGAGCCAGCUCAGAGCACUGAGCCUGAGGCAGAGCUGUGUGCAUGGAGCUAGGUCUGCAUGGGUAAGAGUGUUCCACAGGCUGCAAAGACAGUUCUCCAGCAUCAUGAGCAUGUGGACCCUCUCUCAGACACUCAUAGGGCAGUACGUGGAGCAUGACUUCUCUGCAUGGUGUGGCUGCUGGCCAGGAAAGUGGCUGUUUGCUGUAGGAAUGGACUAGCCAGUGUGUGUGUAGUGAAGGAGCCAUUGUGCCUUGUGCACUGCUUUUGUGUAAUGGAAGCAUUAGAAGUAAGAGUACCAAUGCCAACUCCAGGAUAUUGUUUUAUAUUUUCAGGGUAGCAUAGUUCUUUUUGUUGGUUGUCACCCCAUUCAAUUGCCAGUCUCAGUGUAAACUUAUUUAUUAGUUCCUAAGCUCUUGCUGCCCUGCUCUAAUGUGCAGAAAUUCACCAAGCUUCUCUGCCUUAUGAACUCAUGGCCUUAUGAACUCAUUUACACUUGUUUCAUCACAUGUUACUUCAUUCACUAGCUAAUUUAUUUCUGUAUAUUUUUACAAAAAAAAAUUAUUAGCUUGAGUGUACUUUGUAAGGAGUUUUUCAAGUUCUUAUUUUCAUCCUCUUAAUAUCUCUCUUAUGCCUGGUUUAUGAAGUUUUGUGGCCUUUCCUGAUUUCUGUACUUGUAUAAGCUUUACAUUCUUUUCUACUACUAAGCUUUAUUUUAGGGAUAUUUAUUUUAGAAAUAUCACAUGCUGAACAGUAAAACUGGGGGAGACAGCUGGGAGAACUGCCAUUGUUGGGAGAUGGCUACUCAUUGGUCAGUAGUGAGCAAUUGGGUUGUGCAGCACUUUUUAUUAUUAUUGUUGUUGUUUUUUUGUUGUUUGUUUUUCUAAUUUUAUUCCUUUUCUUAUUAAACUGUCAUAUUAAAUUUGAUAUCUGAGAAACAUUAUUUUUUUUAAAGAAAUAUGUUAGUAGCCAUAAAAGAAAUAUGAAGAGAACUUCUGGUGUCAACAAGUCUGAAGUCUGCAUCCGUCCUGAGCAAGCUUACCAUUACACUUAUGUCUUCCAGUCAGACGUUGGCAAUUAAAGAGCAGAGUCCUUGCUUUCAAAUUCUGCUAAGAUUUUCUUCAAAUUAGAUUCCUCCCCUGCCAUCAGAUGAUGACUGGUAAAUGUAGAGUCCUUUUUCCACAUAAUAAAGAACCGUGGAUUGGUGUCCUUUACAUGCUGCGAAAAGGCCUUGUAGAAGGCAAGAAGCUGCUGGAGGUGAGCCAAUGUAGUAAUCCAGAAGAAUUCAACUGUUAUGCGAAAAAGGUAGACUAAACCAGAGGUAAACACUGACAAUUGUUAGAAAAGGUGUCCAAGUUAGUUGUAUUUUCAGCAUCAAGAUCAUUCUGCUAAUGCUAUCACCCAGCAGGCAAGAGAGAAAGCAGGCAUG